GCCAUCUUAGCUCAGUUAUGGUUAGAGCACAUCAUUGGUAAUGAUGAGGUCCUGGGUUCGAUCCCCAGAGGUGGCU
rnacentral:tRNA from 1 species